rnacentral:rRNA from 1 species
CCUACGGGUGGCAGCAGUGAGGAAUAUUGGUCAAUGGACGAGAGUCUGAACCAGCCAAGUAGCGUGAAGGAUGACUGCCCUAUGGGUUGUAAACCUCUUUUAUAAAGGAAUAAAACGAGGCACGUGUGCCGUUUUGCAUGUACUUUAUGAAUAAGGAUCGGCUAACUCCGUGCCAGCAGCCGCGGUAAUACGGAGGAUCCGAGCGUUAUCCGGAUUUAUUGGGUUUAAAGGGUGCGUAGAUGGGUUGUUAAGUCAGUUGUGAAAGUUUGCGGCUCAACCGUAAAAUUGCAAUUGAUACUGGCAGUCUUGAGUACAGUUGAAGUAAGCGGAAUGCGUGGUGUAGCGGUGAAAUGCUUAGAUAUCACGAAGAACCCCGAUUGCGAAGGCAGCUUACUAAACUGUGACUGACAUUGAUGCUCGAAAGUGUGGGUAUCAAACAGGAUUAGAUACCCUUGUAGUC